AUGUUCCGACACUCAGAGGUGACAAUCACACGAAGUGGAGGAAAGCAAGAUGAACUGGCAUUUGUUUGUGCUGAUCUGGACUGGGUUCUGGAUGAACCACAGCCGGUCAGACCUAUAGAGCGAGUAAGAGAGACCACUGAUGACGAUGCUGUGUGGACUAAAAAGAGGGGGGAUUAUGCCCCUUUGGAGAUGUCCUACAUCAUAGAAAACCAAAAGUGGGUUAAUGCAAACAAAAAGUGCAUGGCCUUUAUAAAGAAUACAAUUGAGAGCACCAUUGUGGGCUCCAUUGCAGAGUGCACUUCCGCAGGGGAGUUGCUUACAAAUAUAAAGAGUCAGUUCACUGGCUCUUCAAAGAUAUAUGCCACCCAGGUGUUAAAACAACUGGUGACAGAACACUACACAGGUGGUGGAAUAAGAGAGCACACAUCCUCAGGAUGA
rnacentral:rRNA from 1 species